UCCUACGGGAGGCAGCAGUGGGGGAUAUUGCACAAUGGGGGAAACCCUGAUGCAGCGACGCCGCGUGGGCGAAGAAGUAUUUCGGUAUGUAAAGCCCUAUCAGCAGGGAAGAAGAAAUGACGGUACCUGAGUAAGAAGCUCCGGCUAACUACGUGCCAGCAGCCGCGGUAAUACGUAGGGAGCAAGCGUUGUCCGGAAUUACUGGGUGUAAAGGGAGCGUAGGCGGGAUGGCAAGUUGGGUGUUAAAUCUACCGGCUCAACUGGUAGUCGCACUCAAAACUGCUAUUCUUGAGUGAAGUAGAGGG
rnacentral:rRNA from 1 species